UGGACAAAGAGAAGCAU
rnacentral:sRNA from 1 species